rnacentral:rRNA from 1 species
AUUGAACGCUGGCGGCAGGCCUAACACAUGCAAGUCGAACGAGUGGCGGACGGGUUAGUAAUGUCUGUGACACUGCCCGAUGGAGGGGGAUCCCUACUGGCAACGGUAGCUACUACCGCCUACCAUCGGCUGUGCCCAGAUGGGAUUAGCUAGUAGGUGGGGUAACGGCUCACCUGGGCGACGAUCCCUAGCUGGUCUGAGAGGAUGACGAGCCACACUGGAACUGAGACACGGUCCAGACUCCGACGGGAGGCAGCAGUGGGGAAUAUUGCACAAUGGGCGAAAGCCGGAUGCAGCCAUGCCGCGUGUAUGAAGAAGGCCUUCGGGUUUUAAAGUACUUUCAGCGGGGAGGCGUUACCCGCAGAAGAAGCACCGGCUAACUACGUGCCAGCAGCCGCGGUAAUAC